rnacentral:misc_RNA from 1 species
GAUGAAGAACGUAGCGAAAUGCGAUAAGUAAUGUGAAUUGCAGAAUUCAGUGAAUCAUCGAAUCUUUGAACGCACAUUGCGCCCGUCAGUAUUCUGGCGGGCAUGCCUGUUCGAGCGUCAUUACGCCCCUCAAGUCCCCUGUGGACUUGGUGUUGGGGAUCGGCGAGGCUGGUUUUCCAGCACAGCCGUCCCUUAAAUUAAUUGGCGGUCUCGCCGUGGCCCUCCUCUGCGCAGUAGUAAAACACUCGUAACAGGAGCCCGGCGCGGUCCACUGCCGUAAAACCCCCCAACUUUUUAUAGUUGACCUCGAAUCAGGUAGGACUACCCGCUGAACUUAAGCAUAUCAAUAAGCGGAGGA